CUGGGUCCAAGUGAUCCCCACUCGGCCUCCAAAGUGCUGGAUUACAGGUGUGAGCCAACAUGUCUGGCCCCUCUUUUUUUUUUUUUUUUUUUUUUUUUUUUUUGCGAUGGAGUCUCGCUCUUUCACCCAGGCUGGAGUGCACUGGGCAGUCUCGGCGCACACAACCUCUGCCUCCCAGGUUCAAGCUAUCCUUGUGCCUCAGCCUCCUCGUGUAGCUGGAAUUAACAGGUGUGUGCCACCACGCCUGGCUCUUUGUUUUUUUUUUUUUUAUUAUUUUUAGUAGAGACUGGGUUUCACCAUGUUGGCCAGGCUGGUCUCGACUCCUGACCUCAAGUGAUCAGCCCACUUGGCCUCCCAAGUGUUGGGAUUACAGGUGUGAGCCACCACGCCUUACCUGGCCUAUUUUCAUAGGUUAUAUAAAUUCCUUGGUUCCCAGUUUUUGCAGUCUUUCUCAAUUCAGUUUAAUUAAUGGUUAACUGUUUAUUCAUUAUCAAAAAAAGUACAGUGUAAUAAUAAGACCAUGUUACUAUUAGAAGUAUGGGUAUCAUCAAAUUAAGAUUUUUGAUUCUAAAAUUAUUAGUAGUUUCCAAAGACCAAAGAUUAAAUUAAUAAAAGGUGAAGCUAGACAAAAUCUGCUGGAAAUGAUGGCCUGUGACCGACUGAGCCAAUCAGCGAUGAUAUUGGAAACAUUGAUGUACGACCAGCGAUUGAUGUACGAGAACCAGAGCUUGAAGAUUUGGCUAGAUACGAUGUUGGUGCUAUUCGAGCACAUGAUGGUAGUCUUCAGCACCUUACUUGGCUUGGCUUACAGUGGAAUUCAUUGCCUGCUUUACCUGGAAUCCGAAAAUGGCUAAAACAGCUUUUCCAUCAUUUGCCCCAGGAAACCUCAAGGCUUGAAACAAAUGCGCCUGAAUCAAUAUGUAUUUUAGAUCUUGAAGUAUUUCUCCUUGGAGUAGUAUAUACCAGCCACUUACAAUUAAAGGAGAAAUGUAAUUCUCACCACAGCUCCUAUCAGCCGUUAUGCCUGCCCCUUCCUGUGUGUAAACAGCUUUGUACAGAAAGACAAAAAUCUUGGUGGGAUGCGGUUUGUACUCUGAUUCACAGAAAAGCAGUACCUGGAAACGCAGCAAAAUUGAGACUUCUAGUUCAGCAUGAAAUAAACACUCUAAGAGCCCAGGAAAAACAUGGCCUUCAACCUGCUCUGCUUGUACAUUGGGCAAAAUGCCUUCAGAAAACGGGCAGCGGUCUUAAUUCUUUUUAUGAUCAACGAGAAUACAUAGGGAGAAGUGUUCAUUAUUGGAAGAAAGUUUUGCCAUUGUUGAAGAUAAUAAAAAAGAAGAACAGUAUUCCUGAACCUAUUGAUCCUCUGUUUAAACAUUUUCAUAGUGUAGACAUUCAGGCAUCAGAAAUUGUUGAAUAUGAAGAAGACGCACACAUAACUUUUGCUAUAUUGGAUGUAGUAAAUGGAAAUAUAGAAGAUGCUAUGACUGCUUUUGAAUCUAUACAAAGUGUUGUUUCUUAUUGGAAUCUUGCACUGAUUUUUCACAGGAAGGCAGAAGACAUUGAAAAUGAUGCCCUUUCUCCUGAAGAACAAGAAGAAUGCAAAAAUUAUCUGAGAAAGACCAGGGACUACCUAAUAAAGAUUAUAGAUGACAGUGAUUCAAAUCUUUCAGUGGUGAAGAAAUUGCCUGUGCCCCUGGAGUCUGUAAAAGAGAUGCUGAAGUCAGUCCUGCAGGAACUCGAAGCCUAUAGUGAAGGAGGUCCUCUCUAUACAAAUGGUUCUUUGCGAAAUGCAGAUUCAGAAAAAACAUUCUACACGUCCUCUACCAGAUAUUCACUAUCACCAAGUAAAAGUUACAAGGUAAACAGGAAAGAAUGGAAUCAUUUCAUUGUGAAAUUGUUUCUAAGUGUUUUAAAUGCUCUUUUGUUAUUUUUUUAUUUUUUUUAGUAUUCUCCCAAACACCACCUCGAUGGGCAGAAGAUCAGAUUCUUUACUGAAAAUGAUUU
rnacentral:lncRNA from 1 species